CGGUAACAGAGAGUAGCUUGCUACUUUGCUGACGAGCGGCGGACGGGUGAGUAAUGCUUGGGAAUAUGCCUUUACGUGGGGGACAACAGUUGGAAACGACUGCUAAUACCGCAUAAUGUCUUCGGACCAAAGGAGGGGACUCUUCGGAGCCUUUCGCGUAAAGAUUAGCCCAAGUGGGAUUAGCUAGUUGGUGGGGUAAUGGCUCACCAAGGCGACGAUCCCUAGCUGGUUUGAGAGGAUGAUCAGCCACACUGGGACUGAGACACGGCCCAGACUCCUACGGGAGGCAGCAGUGGGGAAUAUUGCACAAUGGGCGCAAGCCUGAUGCAGCCAUGCCGCGUGUGUGAAGAAGGCCUUCGGGUUGUAAAGCACUUUCAGUCGUGAGGAAGGGGUNUUANUUAAUACUUGNUAUCUUUGACGUUAGCGACAGAAGAAGGACCGGCUAACUCCNGUGCCAGCAGCCGCGGUAAUACGGGAGGGUCCGAGCGUUAAUCGGAAUUACUGGGCGUAAAGCGUACGCAGGCGGCUUGUUAAGCCAGAUGUGAAAUCCCCGGGCUCAACCUGGGAAUGGCAUUUGGAACUG
rnacentral:rRNA from 1 species